ACCUUUUGUAUAAUGGGUCAGCGACUUAUAUUCAGUAGCGAGGUUAACCGUAUAGGGGAGCCGUAGAGAAAUCGAGUCUUAAUAGGGCGUUUAGUUGCUGGGUAUAGACCCGAAACCAGGCGAUCUAUCCAUGAGCAGGUUGAAGGUUGGGUAACACUAACUGGAGGACCGAACCCACUGUCGUUGAAAAGCCAGGGGAUGACUUGUGGAUAGGGGUGAAAGGCUAAUCAAGCCUGGUGAUAGCUGGUUCUCCCCGAAAGCUAUUUAGGUAGCGCCUCGGACGAAUACCAUAGGGGGUAGAGCACUGUUUCGGCUAGGGGGUCAUCCCGACUUACCAAACCGAUGCAAACUCCGAAUACCUAUGAGUACUAUCCGGGAGACAGACUGCGGGUGCUAACGUCCGUAGUCAAGAGGAAAACAAUCCAGACCGCCAGCUAAGGCCCCAAAAUCAUAGUUAAGUGGGAAACGAUGUGGGAAGGCAUAGACAGCUAGGAGGUUGGCUUAGAAGCAGCCACCCUUUAAAGAAAGCGUAAUAGCUCACUAGUCGAGUCGGCCUGCGCGGAAGAUGUAACGGGGCUAAAACUAUGUGCCGAAGCUGCGGAUGUAUACUUUGUAUACGUGGUAGGGGAGCGUUCUGUAAGCCGAUGAAGGUGUGUUGAGAAGCAUGCUGGAGGUAUCAGAAGUGCGAAUGCUGACGUGAGUAACGACAAAACGGGUGAAAAACCCGUUCGCCGAAAGACCAAGGGUUCCAGUCCAACGUUAAUCGGGGCUGGGUGAGUCGACCCCUAAGGCGAGGCCGAAAGGCGUAGUCGAUGGGAAAAUGGUUAAUAUUCCAUUACUUCUGUGUAAUGCGAUGAGAGGACGGAGAAGGCUAAAUCAGCCUGGCGUUGGUUGUCCAGGUGAAAGGAUGUAGGCAUGUAUCUUAGGCAAAUCCGGGGUACUCUAUGCUGAGAUCUGAUAGCAAGCUGUACUUGUACAGCGAAGUGGUUGAUGCCAUGCUUCCAGGAAAAGUCUCUAAGCUUCAGUUACACAGGAAUCGUACCCGAAACCGACACAGGUGGUCAGGUCGAGUAGACCAAGGCGCUUGAGAGAACUCUGCUGAAGGAACUAGGCAAAAUGGUACCGUAACUUCGGGAGAAGGUACGCUGUUGUUGGUGAUGGAACUCGCUUCCUGAGCUGACGACAGCCGCAGAAACCAGGCCGCUGCAACUGUUUAUUAAAAACAUAGCACUCUGCAAACACGAAAGUGGACGUAUAGGGUGUGAUGCCUGCCCGGUGCUGGAAGGUUAAUUGAUGGGGUUAGCGUAAGCGAAGCUCUUGAUCGAAGCCCCAGUAAACGGCGGCCGUAACUAUAACGGUCCUAAGGUAGCGAAAUUCCUUGUCGGGUAAGUUCCGACCUGCACGAAUGGCAUAAUGAUGGCGGCGCUGUCUCCAGCAGAGGCUCAGUGAAAUCGAAAUCGCUGUGAAGAUGCAGUGUACCCGCGGCUAGACGGAAAGACCCCGUGAACCUUUACUGCAGCUUGACACUGAACUUUGACCUUACUUGUGUAGGA
rnacentral:rRNA from 1 species